rnacentral:rRNA from 1 species
UACAGAGGUGGCAAGCGUUGUUCGGAAUUACUGGGCGUAAAGGGCGCGUAGGCGGCCAUCUAAGUCAGACGUGAAAUCCCCCGGCUUAACCUGGAACUGCGUCUGAUACUGGACGGCUUGAGUAUGGGAGAGGGAUGUAGAAUUCCAGGUGUAGCGGUGAAAUGCGUAGAUAUCGGGAGGAACACCAGUGGCGAAGGCGACUACCUGGCCUGUUCUUGACGCUGAGGCGCGAAAGCUAGGGGAGCAAACGGG